rnacentral:lncRNA from 1 species
UACUGCCACUUCAAAAACCCGAGCACGACCCUGGAAGAGCUGGACAUGUUGGACGCGGACAUCACCCUGGACAUCGCGGCGCUGUGCCUCAUAUUCGUCGUUCUGAGAAUUUCCGCAUUCCUCUUCCUACGCUGGAAACUCAAGUCUACUAGAUAAGUGAGAGGUGAGGACGCAACCGGGACCAACGUCCGGAGUAUAAUGAAUGAUAAUUAUUGAACAUUGUUUAAGAUCCAUGCAAAGUUAGAUACGUGACUUUUCUACAAAAAUAAAACAAUUUAUAAAAAUACCCUAAUAUAUUGAUCAAAUAUAAUGAACAAAUUCUUGAUAAAAUAUUUAAAUAAUGGAAUUUUAUCGUCCGUUUAUUAAGCUUAUAAUCAGGGAUGAUGGUAAUUUAUACUGUACUUAGAUAUAAUUAGAAAUAUAUUAUGGUUCGUUAAGCUAUGGUCAAAAUGUUUAUAGAUUUUAUGUUUUAUAUGUAAUUUUUAUAAAUAAAUGGUUAAGAUUUUUAA